rnacentral:rRNA from 1 species
GAUGAACGCUAGCGGCAGGCUUAACACAUGCAAGUCGAGGGGCAGCACGGACUUCGGUCUGGUGGCGACCGGCAAACGGGUGCGGAACACGUACACAAUCUACCUUUAUCUGGGGUAUAGCCCGAAGAAAUUCGGAUUAAUCCCCCAUAAGAUAUUAGAGUGGCAUCACUUAGAUAUUAAAACUCCGGUGGAUAAAGAUGAGUGUGCGUCCCAUUAGCUAGUUGGUAGGGUAACGGCCUACCAAGGCAACGAUGGGUAGAUGGUGUGAGAGCACGACCAGCCACACGGGCACUGAGACACGGGCCCGACUCCUACGGGAGGCAGCAGUGAGGAAUAUUGGUCAAUGGACGCAAGUCUGAACCAGCCAUGCCGCGUGAAGGAUGAAGGCCUUCUGGGUUGUAAACUUCUUUUAUUGGGGAAGAAAAUUACGGUUUCUACUGUAACCGACGGUACCCAAGGAAUAAGCACCGGCUAACUCCGUGCCAGCCGCCGCCGUAAAAC